rnacentral:rRNA from 1 species
AUGAGUUGGCGUAAAAGCAUAGCGAACCAACGCAAAAACAGGCACAGUGAACGCUCCCGAGAGUCGCGCCCACGAUCCCUUUUUCUCGAGAACUCGCCCACGCUCACCACCAACACACUGCGCGCGUCACGCAUAUCAUGGGCCUCCCUGACAAAGCUGCAUGCAAGCAUGCAAGGCCCAGCUCCCAUGGGCUUUUUGGUGAAGGGUGUGUGCGGCCGUGCGAGCGUACAAAAUUACCGAUGCAAGUCGAAGAAGGAUUGGCCGAUGCUGCCGGAUGGCGUCAAGUUUGAUCCCACGGAUCAGGAGGUGAUCGAGCACCUUGAGGCCAAAGUGAGUGCUGACAACACGAGAUCUUACCGUCUCAUCGAUUUGUUCAUACCAACCAUCGGUAGCGAGCACGGCAUAUGCUACACCCAACCUGAGAAACUUCCAGGUAUCACACAGAGUGGCCUAAGGAAGCAUAUCUUCCAACGCAAUUCCAGGGCGUUCAAAAGGGGCACGUGGACGCGUCGCAAGAUACAGUCGGAGUGCGGCAUGCACGCGAUGUGGCACAAGACAGGCAAUACCUUGCCGGUGAUGGUCAACGGCCAGCAGACGGGUAACACAAAGGUUCUGGUGUUGCACACCAACAAGAACUUCGACCAGCAGAGGACCAACUGGGUGAUGCACCAGUACCACCUCGGGGAUCUGGAGCAAGAGAAGGAGCGGGAGCUGGUCCUCUGCAAGAUUUUGUACCAGACGAACACUAGGGCCAGGAGUAAAAAGAUUAUAAGUCGAGCAAGUUUUAACUGGGCUGUAGACUACCCAGGCUUGGUUUUGUUUUUAACAGGCCCAGCCCAUGACGACAACGGGGCACAAAGAUCUAGCAGCCAGCGCUGA